rnacentral:rRNA from 1 species
UACGUAGGUGGCGAGCGUUAUCCGGAUUUACUGGGCGUAAAGUGAGCGCAGACGGUCUUUCAAGUCAGUUGUUAAAUCUCUCGGCCUAACCGGGUGAGCGCAGCUGAUACUGUUGGACUAGAGGACAACAGAGGGAAGUGGAACUCCCGGUGUAGUGGUGGAAUGCGUAGAUAUCGGGAAGAACACCAGUGGCGAAGGCGGCUUCCUGGGUUGUUUCUGACGUUCAUGCUCGAAGGUGUGGGGAGCGAAC